GCCAGACUCCUACGGGAGGCAGCAGUGGGGAAUAUUGCAGAAUGGGGGAAACCCUGAUGCAGCGACGCCGCGUGAGUGAAGAAGUAUUUCGGUAUGUAAAGCUCUCUCAGCAGGGAAGAAAUAGCGACCUUUGGGUCGCCAGACGGUACCUGAUUAAGAAGCCCCGGCUAACUACUGGCCAGCAGCCGCGGUAAUACGUAGGGGGCAAGCGUUAUCCGGAUUUACUGGGUGUAAAGGGAGCGUAGACGGCAGCGCAAGUCUGAAGUGAAAUGCCGGGGCUUAACCCCGGAACUGCUUUGGAAACUGUGCAGCUAGAGUGCAGGAGAUGUAAGUGGAAUUCCUAGUGUAGCGGUGAAAUGCGUAGAUAUUAGGAGGAACCCCAGUGGCGAAGGCGGCUUACUGGACUGUAACUGACGUUGAGGCUCGAAAGCGUGGGGAGCAAACAGGAUUAGAUCCCCUGGUU
rnacentral:rRNA from 1 species